CAAACCUAAAACUAACAGCCGUAUAUUAAUAGGAUAUGAUAGUAAAUAGAGCACAACACGAUGCAACAACCUUUUUUUAGUAUGAGGUAAAUAAAAUACCAGAGCGACAUCCUUAGCUAGCUUAAUAUCUAUUACAAACAAUGUCUUUGAAAGGUUGAAAAGACCCUUCCCAACAUUUGGCGAGGAGAAAUAUUUGAAUGCCUCUUCUUGUAGAAUACAAAAUCAAUAAACACAUAAUAUAUCAUGUUGGAGUUUUUAAAAGAACAUAAUGAAAUGGAGUGGAUAGAUAAUAAAAGAAUGGAAAGGAAUAGAAUAAAAUAGUGAGCUUUCUCUAGUGUGUGCUUUCAGGUUUAUAAAAGAAAAAAUGUAAAGGAAAAAAAUGUAUUUUACAUUUACACCCUUCAAGAAGAAAUAAACAAAAGGAUUGUCGUCUGUAGUUCUUCAAAGGGCUGCACAAAUAGCAAGUCUAAGGUUAUCUGUGUUGAAACUUUUGGUUAUUUAAUAAUUGUUUUGGUCUUCAAGUUUGGGGCAACUUACUUUUAUCUUAAUUUAUGUGUUUCUAAUCUAUUUCACUAGGGUUAUAUAAAUGCUACUGUUGAUAAUGUGCCUUGGAUGAUAACAUUGGAUGCUUCAAUUUUUGAUGAUGUUAUCAACAAUUUUGAAAACUGGAAUUUGCGUAAUGAAUUGACUCGUGCUCGUUUAAGUCUUGCCUCUGGCGGAGAUCAUAAUAAUAUUCCAAUAAUUUACCAAAUUUUAAAGCUUAGGUUUGAUAAGGCUAAGCAUUAAAAUUUGGUUAAUUAUUGGAAUAUUAUUAUGAUCUCCGUCAGAGGCAAUACUUAAACGAGCACGAGUCAAUUCAUUACGCAAAUUUCGGUUUUCAGAAUUGUUGAUAACAUCAUCAAAAAUUGUAGCAUCCAACAUUAUCAUCCAAGGCCCAUUAUCAACAGUAGCAUUUAUAUAUAACCCUAGUGAAAUAGAUUAGAAAUAAAAAAUAAGAUAAAAGUAAGUUGCCCCAAACUUGAAGACGAAAACAAUUAUUAAAUAACCAAAAGUUUCAACACAGAUUACCUUAGACUUUGCUAUUUGUGCAGCCCUUUGAAGAACUACAGAAGACAAUCCUUUUGUUUAUUUCUUGAAGGGUGUAAAUGUAAAAUACAUUUUUUCCUUUCCAUUUUUUCUUUUAUAAACCUGAAAGCACACACUAGAGAAAGCUCACUAUUUUAUUCUAUUCCUUUCCAUUCUUUUAUUAUCUAUCCAUUUCAUUAUAUUCUUUUAAAAACUCCAACAUGGUAUUAUGUGUUUCUUGAUUUUGUAUUCUACAGGAAGAGGCAUUCAAAUAUUUCUCUUGGCCAAAUGUUCGGAAGGGUCUUUUCAACCUUUCAAAGAUUUUGUUUGAAAUAGAUAUUAAGCUAGCUAAGGAUGUUGCUCUGGUAUUUUAUUUUAGUUACCUCAUACUUAAUAAAAGGUUGUUGCAUCGUGUUGUGCUCUAUUUACUAUCAUAUCCCAUUAAUAUAUGGCUGUUAUUUUUAGGUUUGGCACACUCAAGUUGAAUUCUACGGUGUCUUUGAUUCUUCAUGUAAUCUUAUUGCAUACUUUUCUGUGGAUCUAUAUGCUUGACCACCCCAAAAAGAGGAUGGUGCUUGGACAGUAGGGGUUUUUGAUUGAAGUAGUGUGAUGGAUGCUUUGCUAGGUUGCCAAUUGCUCACGUGGUGUACAAUCUAAUACCACCAAUGGGGAAUAUACCAUCCCUACUUACAUUUGAGGAAGUUGGUGGUGAUUGUGUUCCAUGAAUUCAGUCAUGCACUUCAAUGUAUGCUGACCAAGCAAGAUGAGGGUUUAGUUUCUGGUGUACAGGGGAUAGAGUGGGACGCUGUUGAAUUAUCUUCUCUGUUCAUGGAAAAAUGGUGUUAUCACAAAGAUACUCUCACGAGCACUGGAAAGCAUUAUAAUACCAAGAAGAGAAUCCCUGAAUCACUUGUACGGAUUUGCUUAAAAAUGUGGAGCUCUUCAGAGGCUUAGUCGGUCUUCACCAAGUAAGAAGGGGAUUUUAGAUUUGCAGUUGCAUGCAAUGUACAUUCCUGAUGGGCCAAAAACUGCCCUCGAUUAAGUAAGAGUGUUUAUGAAAUCACAUCCGUGUACCCUAUGCUACAAGAAGAUGGGUAUCUUUGUAGCAUCUCUCAUAUAUUUACAGUGGUCUGAGAUGAUGGCAGUAGACGGUCUCUGCAUUUGAGGCUGCUGGACUGAAUAACAAGGAGGUAAGUCCAAACGAGCUGUCUAGAAAGAUGCCAUAGUCUUGCCACUUGCCAUAGAAUAUGGUUUCUAAAUGGAGCACAUCAUCUCCAUAUUGCACCUGAUUGAUCUUUAUAUUUGUAGUGUCUUGUUUAAAAGAUGACGCAUUGAGGAGCCUCAUUGAAGAUUUAGUCACAAUGUCCGUUGCAUUGCAUUUUUGGAUGCAUAAAUUUGUCACCUACUGCAGUUCAUCUCCAUUUUUAGCGAAGUUAUAUGAUAAAAGAGAUAUUAAGUUAUGAUAAAUAGCAAAAAAUCAUUGUAAUAGCCUUGUAGCCCAAUUGGUUUGCAUCUCGUUGUUUUCAACGGAAACAUUUUGGAUUCAAAUCCCCCUACCCCCAACUAUCGAAUUAUCCAAAAAAAUAAUAAAAAAGAUUUAUGGAUCGUAGACCAUGGCGAUAGGGAGGCUGUCUAUCUAUGGAACAUGGGUUAUCCACUAAGGACUUGUAGUUAAAAAAAAAUAAAAUAAAAAAAAAAAAAAAAAAAAAAAAAAAAAAAAAGAAAAGAAAAAAAAAGGAACGACUUGAGAGUUAAGACAAACAUCCCAAAUUGAAGUUUCAUUUUAGGGUCAUCAACAUUUUGCAUACAAAUGUUCUUACACUUCAGUUUAGUUCUGGUGUGAUAUAUGUUGACGUAAAUCUAGAGACUAAAAUCUGCCCCAAAGGUUUUUGAAGGCUUGUUAUUUGGUGCAUCUUUCAUGGGUUUUCUUUUAACUACUAGUAGUCAAAGCUCCGUAACAUUUAGAAAAGGCUGCUUCUAUAUUUUAUAUAUAUAUAUAUAUAUACAUAUAGGUAUUGAUGAGAAAUUACUACAUUUUAUAUUGGGAGUGAUUUUUAUGCCUUGCAACAUGAUGAGAUUGUGAAAUAGGCUAUGAAAGAAAUGGGGCACAAAUUCUGAGAGACGAUCCUUGCUCUUGGAGGUGGCAAUGCGGCAAAAGAGGUAUUAAAAAAUUCAAGGGAAAAGAACAUUCAUUGAAGGAACUGUUGAAGCAAAUUAGAAAAUCUGUACCAGAGGAACUGCUCAAGCUGUCGUCCUGUUCACAGGAACAGAAACAGAGGAAGAAGUCUUCAUGUGAACAGAAACGGAGGAAGAAGUCAUAAUUAGCUUUUUGAAAACUUUUGAUUUUAAAGAUGAAAGCCCUUCUUUUUUGUUUUCUUGUUUCUCAUUUAACUUUUUUUCCCGUAUUGAAAGUAAAACUAUCCCAAUUUUUUAAGGAUAUGGGAUUUCCUAAGAUAAGGGUCUUGUAAUUUAUUGUACCCCAAUUAGUUUAGACUUUCUAACACAACAUCAAAACAUUUUAUACACUGUCAAGUAUAGUCAUGCAUGCUUUUUACUAGGUGGAGUGUUAAAGUGGUUGAAUUUGUGUGGAAUUCCUAAGGUUUACGUGCCACAGGAUGUAGUUGUUUGUUGUUAUGGUUUGUCCAGGUAAAAAUCCCAUCCACCAUGGAUGGGUAGCCAUGCUAUCUUUGAAUUGAAAGUUUGGUAUGCUAA